AGCAGCCGCGGUAAUUCCAGCUCCAAUAGCGUAUAUUAAAGUUGUUGCAGUUAAAAAGCUCGUAGUUGAAUUUCGGGAUUGACACAUCGGUCGUGCCUUAAGGGGUAUGAACUGGUGUAGUCAAUUUCUCACCUUCUGGAGAACCGCGAUGCCCUUAAUUGGGUGUCGCGGGGAACCAGGACCUUUACUUUGAAAAAUUAGAGUGUUUAAAGCAGGCAUUUUGCUUGAAUACAUUAGCAUGGAAUAAUAAAAUAGGACGGCAUGAUUCUAUUUUGUUGGUUUCUAGGAUCACCGUAAUGAUUAAUAGGGAUAGUUGGGGGCAUUAGUAUUCAAUUGUCAGAGGUGAAAUUCUUGGAUUUAUUGAAGACUAACUACUGCGAAAGCAUUUGCCAAGGAUGUUUUCAUUAAUCAAGAACGAAAGUUAGGGGAUCGAAGACGAUCAGAUACCGUCGUAGUCUUAACCAUAAACUAUGCCGACUAGGAAUCAGACGAUGUUAAUUUUUAAUGACUCGUUUUGGCA
rnacentral:misc_RNA from 1 species